UGGGGACUCUACUAUGGGUUACA
rnacentral:siRNA from 1 species